GAUGAACGCUGGCGGCGUGCCUAAUACAUGCAAGUCGAGCGAACAGACGAGGAGCUUGCUCCUCUGACGUUAGCGGCGGACGGGUGAGUAACACGUGGAUAACCUACCUAUAAGACUCGGAUAACUUCGGGAAACCGGAGCUAAUACCGGAUAACAUGUUGAACCGCAUGGUUCAACAGUGAAAGACGGUUUUGCUGUCACUUAUAGAUGGAUCCGCGCCGCAUUAGCUAGUUGGUAAGGUAACGGCUUACCAAGGCAACGAUGCGUAGCCGACCUGAGAGGGUGAUCGGCCACACUGGAACUGAGACACGGUCCAGACUCCUACGGGAGGCAGCAGUAGGGAAUCUUCCGCAAUGGGCGAAAGCCUGACGGAGCAACGCCGCGUGAGUGAAGAAGGUCUUCGGAUCGUAAAACUCUGUUAUUAGGGAAGAACAAAUGUGUAAGUAACUAUGCACGUCUUGACGGUACCUAAUCAGAAAGCCACGGCUAACUACGUG
rnacentral:rRNA from 1 species